rnacentral:rRNA from 1 species
AUAUUGGUCAAUGAGCGGAAGCUUGAACCAGCCAUGCCGCGUGCAGGACGACUGCCCUAUGGGUUGUAAACUGCUUUUAUACGGGAAUAAACCCCUCUACGUGUAGGGGGCUGAAUGUACUGUAAGAAUAAGGAUCGGCUAACUCCGUGCCAGCAGCCGCGGUAAUACGGAGGAUCCGAGCGUUAUCCGGAUUUAUUGGGUUUAAAGGGUGCGUAGGCGGCACUUUAAGUCAGGGGUGAAAGACGGCAGCUUAACUGUCGCAGUGCCUUUGAUACUGAAGUGCUUGAAUGCGGUUGAAGACGGCGGAAUGAGACAAGUAGCGGUGAAAUGCAUAGAUAUGUCUCAGAACACCGAUUGCGAAGGCAGCUGUCUAAGCCGUUAUUGACGCUGAUGCACGAAAGCGUGGGGAUCGAACAGG